GGGUUGUGAGGUUAAGCGACUAAGCGUACACGGUGGAUGCCCUGGCAGUCAGAGGCGAUGAAGGGCGUGCUAAUCUGCGAUAAGCGCCGGUAAGGUGAUAUGAACCGUUAUAACCGGCGAUACCCGAAUGGGGAAACCCAGUGUGACUCGUCACACUAUCAUUAACUGAAUCCAUAGGUUAAUGAGGCGAACCGGGGGAAC
rnacentral:rRNA from 1 species